UUCUUAUUGGAUGAUAACUAUCACGUGACAUGUUCUGAUUGGAUGUCAACUCCAUGAAAAAUGAAAUGCAUUGUUGUUUUCAUUGACCAAUCAGAACAUGACACGUGACAAUCAUCAUCC
rfam:Glycine soja cultivar W05 scaffold2692_3, whole genome shotgun sequence.